GGCGCCAAUGAACACAUUGAAUCAAAUCUUCCUUUCUUACUCAAAAUUUACAAUUUCAUACAUAGUUGCUUUUCUAGACAUGUUCCAUAGGCCGAAUCAUCCAUAACCAUAGGUAGCAAGCUAAGAUAGCAAACACCACGAAUAAAACGUAAAUAGUAGUAAAAAGUAUAAGGGUACAAUCAUAAGGAAAAUAUUUAUCCUUAUAUGGUCUCACACAGUGAAGAAGCAGGGAAUCAUUCUCCCACUACCUUCUUGGUCGUCCAAGCACACAUGGUAAUAGUGAGAAAUCACAUCCGGCUAUCACAGAUUAUUUGGAUACGGGCGAUCCAAAACGAUUAUAAAUAUAGUAUAUAACCUCAUCUCAUUUUCUUGAGGCGAUAAUCCUAACAUUAUAUCUCAUCUCCACUCGCUCAUCUAGCACUAGAGGCGACCGCUCGUGUGAGUGAGCCGAUCUAAAAUCUGUGUGACAUCCUUGUUGAGCUUUUAACAAAUAACAUAUGUGAUGUGUACGAUGUAACAAUAAUUAAUGAUGAAAAAACAUAAUACUCAUUUUUGCAAA